GUGGCGGACGGGUGAGUAACACGUGGGUAACCUGCCUAUCAGCGGGGGAUAACACUUGGAAACAGGUGCUAAUACCGCAUAGAUCUUUUUUCUGCAUGGAAGAAAGAGGAAAGACGCUUUUGCGUCACUGAUAGAUGGACCCGCGGUGCAUUAGCCAGUUGGUGGGGUAACGGCCUACCAAAGCAACGAUGCAUAGCCGACCUGAGAGGGUGAUCGGCCACACUGGGACUGAGACACGGCCCAGACUCCUACGGGAGGCAGCAGUAGGGAAUCUUCGGCAAUGGACGAAAGUCUGACCGAGCAACGCCGCGUGAGUGAAGAAGGUUUUCGGAUCGUAAAACUCUGUUGUCAGAGAAGAACAAAGGUGAGAAGAAAAUGCUCACCUCUUGACGGUAUCUGACCAGAAAGCCACGGCUAACUACGUGCCAGCAGCCGCGGUAAUACGUAGGUGGCAAGCGUUGUCCGGAUUUAUUGGGCGUAAAGCGAGCGCAGGCGGUUUCUUAAGUCUGAUGUGAAAGCCCCCG
rnacentral:rRNA from 1 species